rnacentral:rRNA from 1 species
GAUGAACGCUGGCGGCGUGCCUAAUACAUGCAAGUCGAGCGAAUGGAUUAAGAGCUUGCUCUUAUGAAGUUAGCGGCGGACGGGUGAGUAACACGUGGGUAACCUGCCCAUAAGACUGGGAUAACUCCGGGAAACCGGGGCUAAUACCGGAUAACAUUUUGAACCGCAUGGGUCGAAAUUGAAAGGCGGCUUCGGCUGUCACUCAUGGAUGGACCCGCGUCGCAUUAGCUAGUUGGUGAGGGAACGGCUAACCAAGGCAACGAUGCGUAGCCGACCUGAGAGGGUGAUCGGCCACACUGGGCAUGAGAAACGGCCCAGACUCCUACGGGAGGCAGCAGUAGGGAAUCUUCCGCGAUGGACGAAAGUCUGACGGAGCAACGCCGCGUGAGUGAUGAAGGCUUUCGGGUCGUAAAACUCUGUUGUUAGGGAAGAACAAGUGCUAGUUGAAUAAGCUGGCACCUUGACGGUACCUAACCAGAAAGCCACGGCUAACUACGUGCCAGCCGCCGCCGUAA